rnacentral:rRNA from 1 species
CAUCCGCCUGGGUACUACGAGCACAGCUUAAAACCCAAAGGACUUGGCGGUGUCUCAAACCCACCUAGAGGAGCCUGUUCUAGAACCGAUAAUCCUCGUUAAACCUCACCACUUCUUGUCCUUCCGCCUAUAUACCGCCGACGUCAGCUUACCCUGUGAAGCCCAACAGUAAGCAAAAUAGGCUAGCCAAAAACG